rnacentral:rRNA from 1 species
GAUGAACGCUGGCGGCGUGCUUAACACAUGCAAGUCGAACGGAAAGGCCGAAGCUUGCUUCGGUACUCGAGUGGCGAACGGGUGAGUAACACGUGGGUGAUCUGCCCUGUACUUCGGGAUAGGCUUGGGAAACUGGGUCUAAUACCGGAUAUGACGAUCUCUUGGAUGGGGUUGUGGAAAGCUUUUGCGGUAUGGGAUGAGCUCGCGGCCUAUCAGCUUGUUGGUGGGGUAAUGGCCUACCAAGGCGUCGACGGGUAGCCGGCCUGAGAGGGUGUACGGCCACAUUGGGACUGAGAUACGGCCCAGACUCCUACGGGAGGCAGUAAUGGGGAAUAUUGCACAAUGGGCGCAAGCCUGAUGCAGCGACGCCGCGUGGGGGAUGACGGCCUUCGGGUUGUAAACUCCUUUCGCAAUCGACGAAGCCUUUUGGUGACGGUAGGUUGAGAAGAAGCACCGGCUAACUACGUG